UACGGGGGGGGCAAGCGUUGUUCGGAAUUACUGGGCGUAAAGGGCUCGUAGGCGGCCAACUAAGUCAGACGUGAAAUCCCCCGGCUUAACCUGGGAACUGCAUCCGAUACUGGAUGGCUUGAAUCCGGGAGAGGGAUGCAGAAUUCCAGGUGUAGCGGUGAAAUGCGUAGAUAUCUGGAGGAACACCGGUGGCGAAGGCGGCAUCCUGGACCAACACUGACACUGAGGAGCGAAAGCCAGGGGAGCAAACGAG
rnacentral:rRNA from 1 species